GUCGGAUUAGCUAGUUGGUAGGGUAACGGCCUACCAAGGCGACGAUCCGUAACUGGUCUGAGAGGACGACCAGUCACACCGGAACUGAGACACGGUCCGGACUCCUACGGGAGGCAGCAGUGGGGAAUAUUGGACAAUGGGCGAAAGCCUGAUCCAGCGACGCCGCGUGGGUGAAGGAGGCCUGCGGGUUGUAAAGCCCUUUCGGUGGGGAAGAAAAGCCUCGACCUAAUACGUCGGGGUCUUGACGUAACCCAUAGAAGAAGCACCGGCUAACUCUGUGCCAGCAGCCGCGGUAAUACAGAGGGUGCGAGCGUUAAUCGGAAUUACUGGGCGUAAAGCGCGCGUAGGCGGCUUUGCAAGUCGGGUGUGAAAUCCCCAGGGCUUAACCUGGGAACUGCACUCGAGACUGCAUUGCUAGAGUAUGGGAGAGGGAAGUGGAAUUUCGGGUGUAGCGGUGAAAUGCGUAGAUAUCUGAAGGAACAUCAGUGGCGAAAGCGACUUCCUGG
rnacentral:rRNA from 1 species